CCAAGACUACUAACAUCACACUGGGCUGCCUGGUCAAGGGCUACUUGCCGGGGCCAGUGACCGUGACCUGGGAUGCAGGGUCCCUUAACCCGAGCACCAUGACCUUCCCUGACAUCCUUGACCAAGCCUCUGGCCUCUACACCACCAUCAGCUGGGUGGUCGCCUCGGGGAAGUGGGCCAAGCAGAAGUUCACCUGCAACGUGGUGCACUCCCAGGAGACCUUCAACAAGACCUUCAACGCAUGCAUCGUGACCUUCACCCCACCCACCGUGAAGCUCUUCCACUCCUCCUGCGACCCCGGCGGCGACUCCCACACCACCAUCCAGCUCCUGUGCCUCAUCUCCGACUACACCCCUGGCGACAUCGACAUCGUUUGGCUGAUAGAUGGGCAGAAGGUCAACGAGCAGUUCCCUCAACACGGCCCCGUGAAGCAGGAGGGCAAGCUGGCCUCCACACACAGCGAGCUCAACAUCACCCAGGGCGAGUGGGCGUCCGAAAACACCUACACCUGCCAGGUCACUUACAAAGACAUGAUCUUUAAGGACCAGGCCCGCAAGUGCACAGAGUCUGACCCCCGCGGUGUGAGCGUCUACCUGAGCCCGCCCAGCCCCCUCGACCUGUACGUCUCUAAAUCGCCCAAGAUCACCUGCCUGGUGGUGGACCUGGCCAACGUGCAGGGCUUAAGCCUGAACUGGUCCCGGGAGAGCGGGGAGCCCCUGCAGAAGCACACACUGGCCACCAGCGAACAGUUUAACAAGACAUUCUCGGUCACGUCCACCCUGCCUGUGGACACCACCGACUGGAUCGAGGGCGAGACUUACAAGUGCGCCGUGUCCCACCCGGACCUGCCCAGGGAAGUCGUGCGCUCCAUCGCCAGGGCCCCUGGCAAGCGUUUGUCCCCCGAGGUCUACGUGUUCCUGCCGCCUGAGGAGGACCAGAGCUCCAAGGACAAGGUCACCCUCACCUGCCUGAUCCAGAACUUCUUCCCCGCGGACAUCUCCGUACAGUGGCUGCGUAACAAUGUCCUAAUCCAGACAGACCAGCAAGCCACCACACGGCCCCAAAAGGCCAAUGGCCCCAACCCCGCCUUCUUCGUCUUCAGCCGCCUAGAGGUCAGCCGGGCGGAAUGGGAGCAGAAGAACAAAUUUGCCUGCAAGGUGGUCCACGAGGCGCUGUCCCAAAGGACCCUCCAGAAAGAGGUGUCCAAAGACCCUGAGCUGGACCUGCAGGACCUGUGCGCGGAGGACGCUGAGAGCGAGGAGCUGGAAGGGCCGUGGACCAGUCUCUUUGUCUUCAUCGCGCUCUUCCUGCUCAGCGUCAGCUACAGCGCCACCGUCACCCUCUUCAAGGUGAAGUGGGUCUUCGCCGCCAUCCUGCAGGAGAAGCCCCAGAGCGUCCGCGACUACAGGAACGUCGUGCAGCCGGCAUCCUAG